rnacentral:rRNA from 1 species
CGCGAAUGGCUCAUUAUAACAGCUAUAAUUUACUUGAUCUUGACACAAUCCUACUUGGAUAACUGUGGUAAUUCUAGAGCUAAUACAUGCAUUAAAGCUCUGACCUCACGGGAAGAGUGCACUUAUUAGAACAAAACCAAGCGGCUUCGGCUGUUUCUGGUUGACUCAUAGUAACUGAGCUGAUCGCAUGGUCUUGCACCGGCGACGUGUCUUUCAAGUAUCUGCCGUAUCAACUUUCGAUGGUAGUGUAUCUGACUACCAUGGUGAUCACGCGUAACGGAGAAUAAGGGUUCGGCUCCGGAGAGUUCGCCUGAGAAAUCGCGAACACAUCUAAGGAAGGCAGCAGGCGCGAAAAUUACCCACUCUCAGCACGAGGAGGUAGUGACGAAAAAUAACGAGACCGUUCUCUUAUGAGGCCGGUCAUCGGAAUGGGUACAAUUUAAACCCUUUAACGAGUAUCUAUGAGAGGGCAAGUCUGGUGCCAGCAGCCGCGGUAAUUCCAGCU